rnacentral:rRNA from 1 species
UGGGGAAUAUUGGACAAUGGGCGCAAGCCUGAUCCAGCCAUACCGCGUGGGUGAAGAAGGCCUUCGGGUUGUAAAGCCCUUUUGUUGGGAAAGAAAUCCAGCUGGCUAAUACCCGGUUGGGAUGACGGUACCCAAAGAAUAAGCACCGGCUAACUUCGUGCCAGCAGCCGUGGUAAUACGAAGGGUGCAAGCGUUAUUCGGAAUUACUGGGCGUAAAGCGUGCGUAGGUGGUCGUUUAAGUCCGUUGUGAAAGUCCUGGGCUCAACCUGGGAACUGCAGUGGAUACUGGGCGACUAGAGUGUGGUAGAGGGUAGUGGAAUUCCUGGUGUAGCAGUGAAAUGCGUAGAGAUCAGGAGGAACAUCCAUGGCGAAGGCAGCUACUUGGACCAACACUGACACUGAGGCACGAAAGCGUGGGGAGCAAACAGGAUUAGAUACCCUGGUAGUCCACGCCCUAAACGAUGCGAACUGGAUGUUGGGUGCAAUUUGGCACGCAGUAUCGAAGCUAACGCGUUAAGUUCGCCGCCUGGGGAGUACGGUCGCAAGACUG